rnacentral:rRNA from 1 species
CAAACCCAGUUGCAGGGUGGAGGGUGGAGGGUACUAAACGAUUGGAGGGGCAUGGGUGGAAGUGUAAUAGGUGUCUUUUUGGAUGUGUAAUGGAGACGGAGGAGGUAGGUUCCUCAUGCGCCGGUUCGGUUUAGAGAAGAGAGGCACUGGUGUUGCGGCGGCGGCGGUGGUCACUAAGACGGAUCGAGGCCGCGAACGACGCGGCGGCGAAUGUCCUCGUCGAUGGGGAGUGAUGGGAAGGGGCUAGGGAGCGGUACCGCUGAAGGAGGCGCGGGGAUGUACGCCGGGCGUCGUUGGGAUCAAUGGUGUCCAGCGGUUACAGGGCGCGGAGGAGACAAAACAGCUAGAUGACGGGGCGCGGAGGAGACCAAACAGCUGGAUGACGGGGCGCGGUGCAGAGGCGUGCGCGGCGAGGGCCGAGCCGGAACCACCACGACGAGGCGGAGUCGUUAGAGCUGAGGCUGCGGCGAGUGCCAAGUCGUUCGGUGAGGAGACUGGGCGAGAAGAGAAAUUGAUAAACCAAGAAAGACACCGUCCGGUCCCGCCUAAGAAACGGCCGGUAGCACUACUGUUAGGUGCGAUGGAACUGACGAGUAGGACUAGGUGGCGGCGCCCGCGACCGAACGUAGCCGUAGUUACAGUGGUGUGAGGCAUUUAGUCUCCUACGGAUUGUAGUGUGCCAUUACUAGACGGGCGCCACAAAAGUUCACCUCUCCGCCUACUAAAUUUCACGAUCAUAGUCUUAUAAUCUAGUGACCACCGCACAACAGACGACCUUCGUUAAGCGGAUCUCCCCUUUCCCACCGGCAACAUGGCCCCCACUCAUGUUAGCUCCCGCUCCGUGUGCACCCACCCCUCCUUUGUGAACCACGAUCCAAUUUCCUUCCCGACUCAUGCUAAUCAGGUCACAUCAAUGUCCACAACCGGAGAUCGAACGACAGUUUCUGCACGAGAACGUCUCCUGGUCUCAUUACGAAAUUAAGGGCGGUUACGUAGUUACGUUCCUAUGGUCUUAUACCCAACGAAAUCUGAAAGGAACUCCUUGACCACUGUUUUAUGUGUCUUUGGUUCAAACAAUUUAAUAGGGGUGAUUGAUAUAAGGGUUGAUGGGUAUAUCCUACAAAGGUUUCCCUAAAAACAAGCAGACGUCGUUGAAACACCUUGCUUUACGUGUGGACUUAACCGCGUAACGGUCAGUCAAGAUCAUGACUUGGUACCCGUCCCACCGCCAUUAAGUAGGAUAUUGUUACAGUAUCUUCCGUAAGUGUCCAUCAAGGAUCUCUUCGAACAGUAGGUCGUACUUCCUGCUACUUCUGCUUCUACUACGUAACGAUUCAACAACUAUCUUUCCACCUCUUACCCCGAUGAUGUUCUAUCAAAAUGCAAAUGCAAUAUGUUACAGUCAAAGUACCAAUUAUUUAUCCUCUAGUACAUUAUAGAAAUAGUCUAACACAAGGUACAUUACGUUUGGCUAAACUAAUUUAUAUAUUUUAGAAAGACAAAU